CUUUCGCUGAAGUCAGGAGUGACAGCAAUUAACUCCUCCGCUGCACCGUCCCCAGGGCCAGAUGCCACGUGAGAGACCCCAGGCUGGAGCGAGAACGUGAGGGCCCGGCGCUCCGGGGCAGGGCGGAGGGAUAGCGACCUGGGGCAUCCGCUGUUUGCAGGCCCGGCUAGGGCGGCUGCCAGCCACGGGGGAGAGGCGCUGGCAAGAGCCAGAGAGGAUCCCCUGCAAGAAAUAUAUCGCGUGCUGACACUUUUACGACCCGGGCCGGCUUACAGUACACAGGCCGGUGCACAGCUCCGCUUUCCUCUGCCCAGCUUGACAUCACAUGCUCGCCCCGGGGCUGCCACUUGGAGUCAGGAAAGCCCAUAUAUUUCCCUCCUCAGAUAGGCCUAGUGGUUCUCGUCAGGUGCAGAAAGCCAAUAAAUCACCAGCGAAGUCUCCAUGUAUCUAUCAGUCAGGAGCUUGUCAUCCUCCAGCCUUGAUCCACAUGAAAGCCGGGAGCAGGAGGGGCGGGGUGCGGGGAGGGGGGCGCGGUGGGGGCGGGGCGCGGUCGGGCCUCGGACACCUGGCAGGGAGCUAGCGGGAGGGCUUGGGGAAUCUGCAAAUGUUCACAGUUCCAAGGGACCGCGGGGGAAAUUUACACCUCCUCCCCCUACUGCUUGUGCUUCCUUUCGCUUUGAAGUUCUGUGGCUCCGCACUGGAGUUGGGGAGGCAAGUCCUCCAGCCUCGGGCUUUUAAUAUUCACAUCACGUCCUCUUUGCAGCUACUUUGGGAGGAUUGAAAGCUACAAAGGACGUUUGGGUGACCUCCCCACAACACAAGGUGGGGUGGGGGGUUUCAACCCACACUGCCCCAUCUUGAAUCGCCAUGGAUGACCAAGUAGUUGAAACACGACGGGGGACUUAGGUGCCAGUCCUUCUAGGCAGAAGGGCCCUCUUGGAAAAAAAUGGUCAUUUCUAGAGCUGUAUGGGACAGGGCUGUGUUCCUGAGGCCAUAGCCCCCAGAAGUCUUCUGAAAGUGAUGGUGGCAAUUCAGGAGAAGAAAGUGUUAUUUCCUUUUUGUAUUUUCACUUGAAAAAAAACUGAGAAGAGUGUGACUAGUCGAUGAUAUUUUGACCAUACAGCUGUUGAGCACUUCUGAGGAAGAGGAACAUGGAAGAGACAUUUGUUGAGUACCUAUUACAUGCCAGGCAAUUCCCAUACAUAUUUUACUUAAUCUUCACAACCGCCCAGAGAAAGAGAUCUCUUUUAUCCUUAUUUUAUGGACAUGACAAAACUGAAUAGAAGGCCCUAGUUUACAAACUCCAGGGGCUCCGCUCCAUUUGCUAUCAGCUAAGCAGACUUGGAGCGUGGACCCCUAUUUCUGCUUCUCCCGGGACACUGUAAAUCUCUCCAUUUGCCAUCAGUCUGGAGCUGUGAGCAUGCAGAUGAAAGGCGUUGUGGAUCUGUGAACUACCGUAGCUCUACCUUCGGAGGAACUGACUUUCAGCUUUCAGCCACAUGCAUGAGAGGGGCUGAUUCCAUCUGUCGACCUGUCAGGCUGCCUCUCUUUUGGGCUUCUUUCUUCCCUUCUUGGAGUUUCUUUAAUAAAACAUUUCACUCCCUUGAAAAGCGUCUCCCCGAGUGGCUGAGGAGGGCCCAAUAUGGUUCCAUUUAGUUCUCUGGGGAUGAAGAGGAAGCAUCCUCCCGUUACGUAACUUUCCCAGCAAGUGGUAUUUCUGUUUACUCUCCCUCAAAAAACUAUACAAAAAUAAAUGCUAGUUGUCCUCCCAGCUCAUGAGUUCCACUCUGCCCACAGUUUCUGCUCGGAACUUCCCCACUCCCUUGGCGUCCUCCUCAUUCUCCUCCUUUCUUGGACUCCUGACUCCCGUAAAUACUGAUGGGAGGGCGAGUGUGGCGC
rnacentral:lncRNA from 1 species